ACUCAAAUGAAUUGACGGGGACCCGCACAAGCGGUGGAUGAUGUGGAUUAAUUCGAUGCAACGCGAAAAACCUUACCUACCCUUGACAUGGUACAGAUCCUGCAGAGAUGCGGGAGUGCUCGCAAGAGAAUGUAUACACAGGUGCUGCAUGGCUGUCGUCAGCUCGUGUCGUGAGAUGUUGGGUUAAGUCCCGCAACGAGCGCAACCCUUGUCAUUAAUUGCUACCAUUAAGUUGAGCACUUUAAUGAGACUGCCGGUGACAAACCGGAGGAAGGUGGGGAUGACGUCAAGUCCUCAUGGCCCUUAUGGGUAGGGCUUCACACGUCAUACAAUGGUGCAUACAGAGGGUUGCCAAGCCGCGAGGCGGAGCUAAUCUCAGAAAGUGCAUCGUAGUCCGGAUUGGAGUCUGCAACCCGACUCCAUGAAGUUGGAAUCGCUAGUAAUCGCGGAUCAGCAUGUCGCGGUGAAUACGUUCCCGGGUCUUGCACACACCGCCCGU
rnacentral:rRNA from 1 species